rnacentral:pre_miRNA from 1 species
GUAGUACUUCCUCCGUUUCGAAUUACUUGUCGUAAGUAUGGAUGUAUCUAGAUGUAUUUUAGUUUUAAAUAUAUCCAUUUUUAUAACGAGUAAUUUGGAACGGAGAAAGUAUAUC